GGCCUUCAUUGGCCAAGGGAAGAAAAUAUCCUCACUUUGGGUAAACAAUCUCCACAUUCCAUUCUACUUUGGCACAACACAGGCACAGCAAGUGAUAAGAACUGUGUUUUUCUUUCUCUGAUCUUCAGAGAACGUGAGUCCCAGCUAUAUUCCUGGGAAAAGCUGUGCCUUGCUUUUCUCCGUGAGGAGAAAUGUGGUAACAACUUCAGGCCCGGCUCUUUUCGAGCUGCCAGGGAGGAUGGUGCCUUUGCCAGGGAGCGCAGUGCCAGAGGACGAGCGGCAGGAACCAUCCCGGGAGGACGAGGAUGGACUCGAUGAUCUCAGAGGCCUUUUCCAAUCGAACUGACGCUGUGUGAGUCUGUGGCAAGUAAAGGACGAGGCAGACGGGGAGUCAGAGACGAGGCGCACGGCUGGUUUUGGUUCUCCGGAUCUACUGUGCUUGUCCACAGCUUCACAACUCAGCAGGACAGUAAGUUCUGAGGACUGUGUGAUUCAGGCAAAGGGAAAGGGAAGAGCAGACCUUUACCGUGGCAUGUAAAUAUGCAGAAGGCAUGGUGCUAAACUGCACCUGAAAGUUACACCCACAAACUGAAUGCACUGCUAGAAGCAUCCAAGCAGCUGGAACUGAUGAAGAUCCAGCACCUGGUUGCUUGUCACCAUCCUGCAGCAGGUUACUGCACCCACAGCUGUUGCAUAGGUGCUCUUUGGCUCAUCCCCUUGGAUACUUCACUGGAGGUUGCCUGCCAGCCUUGCUGGCACCAGGGACCUGUUUGGGGUCAGGCUGGCAGAACUGUGGUGGUAAGUGGCCUUUUGCAAAUGGUCAGUGAUAAAGGGCUGGGGAGAAAUAAUGACUGUGAAUGGAGCAAAUGUUUGCAAACUUAAUUUGUGCUUAUGGUGUAAAUGUAUAGUCAUAAAGCAAAUGGAUAAAAAUAGUUCUAAGUUGAUGUGAGAGAAACCACGCACAAAAAAUUGAACUUGUUUGGUUAAUAGUGCAUGAAAUAAGUCCAUAUAGCUUCUGUAUGUAGGAAGGAGGUCCUGAAGGGGAUUUUACGUGACUUGCCUGCUGAAAGCUCUGCAGUGGUCAGGGCAUAGCACUUAGAUCUGCAUUUUACACAUGAUCAGUUUGAGCUGGGAAAUCCAAUUCCCCAUAUUCUGAGGCUUUCUUUCAUAUUUUAUCUUUAUUUCCAAUAGUGUUUCUCAUAUCUGUGUGCAGAAUUUCUCUAUUAGCCCCUUUCUCUAUGAAAGUGUAUAAUGUGCUCUGCUGCCUGACCAACGGCAGCUACAGUCACUGUAUAUUUCCUCAUCAGUAAUAUACCAAAUUUACUCCCCUAUUUUCAGUUUACCCAGAAUUUGUAUGACCACCAGAAUGCUUUCAGACAUUAAGUUCUUCUGAAACAUAUUUUUGACACCAGAUGGAUUUUUCUGCUAUUUCAGGGACCUGACAUAUUUUCAAUGCAAUCCAAAUUAUUGCCAGUCAUAUAUAAAUUCAUUAGAAGUGCCACUGAGUUCAGCACAUGUCUUUGUCUUCCUUCCAUCAAGGUCAUGUCAAGGUGAAUUUGCAUCUGGCUUUUUUUUUUUCUUUUCCCCCCCUCACUUUUAGUGUGUUUUGGAAGGGAUAAGCAUGACAUGUGGAAUCAAUAUUCAAAUAAUAUAAAGGAAAAGAGAUUAUACAGAAAAGAAAGCAUGCAAUUUUAUCAGGUUUUAGAACAGGUAUCAUGUUACUUGCACUGUGCCAAAACCAGUCCUUUUUGCAUCUGAAUUCAGGUCAGGUACAGCCUAGGAUGCUCAAAAUGUGAAAAAAUAAUGCACUUAAUAAAAGCAGAAAGUAUAGUCAUACAUAUACUGCCAAUGAUUCUCAUCUGUGGAUGUUCAAGUAGAAGAUCUUUUGUAUGCAGGAAGUCCUAAAGUAAGUGAAAAUCUUUCAUUCAGUAGAAUUGUAUAGUAUGGGCCCAUGAAUACUAUUUUCUUUUUCCUUUUUAAUUCCUAUAUAAUCCUGUCUAGGAUUAAAUAUAAUUCUGACAAUAAACUGCAAUUAUAUUUGUUUGGGAAAUGAUGCCUAACUGCUAGAGCAGAAACAUUUAACAAGGACACAUGUUGUGGCUCCUGAAAUAUGCUCCCAGCGUCUACUAAUUUCUGUAUGAAUCCAAAUAAAUCAAACCCACUGUGCUUUUUCUGCUCAAUGGCUUUGGAGAUUUCUCUUGAAUACUGUAAAUGGUAUGGAAACUCCAGAGAUCAAUAUUUUGCAUAUUGCCCAUACCUUCCGUCAUUAAACCUUAUUUAUAAACUUCUGGGAAGUGUAUCUAUUACAUUGUCAAAGGAUACUUCUCUGGGACUGUAAGCCUCA